UAGUUCCACUAGGGGUGUCAGUUUGUCUGACUGAGAGAGGGAAGCCUCAACUCUUAAAACCUGAUCUAGCUUGUACUAGCGUAGGGAAGUGGUGGCACAUUCUA
rnacentral:ncRNA from 11 species